CAGCAGCCACGGGAAUACGUAGGUGGCAAGCGUUAUCCGGAAUUAUUGAGCGUAAAGCGCGCGUAGGCGGUUUUUUAAGUCUGAUGUGAAAGCCCACGGCUCAACCGUGGAGGGUCAUUGGAAACUGGGAAACUUGAGUGCAGAAGAGGAAAGUGGAAUUCCAUGUGUAGCGGUGAAAUGCGCAGAGAUAUGGAGGAACACCAGUGGCGAAGGCGACUUUCUGGUCUGUAACUGACGCUGAUGUGCGAAAGCGUGGGGAUCAAACAGGAUUAGAUACCCGCGUAGUCCCUGUCUCUUAUAC
rnacentral:rRNA from 1 species